AGCAGAAGAGUGGAUCUGAGAUCAGAGCAGAGACAACUUAAUCCUGUCUCAGGUCUAUGAGGUGGCGACCAUGCCAGAUUACGACCCCCUUCCCCACAUUCCGGUGGUGGAGCUGGUAUCGGAGGAUGAAGCGUCUGAAGUGGAGAGUCUGACUCCUCACUUUCCACCCAAGGUGGUCAACUGGAUCAAGCAGAUCAUCCCUCAGCCCGUGAUCCUGCCCCCCGGCGCCGUCCCGUCCGAACCGCCGCCCAAAGCCUCCCGCUCUUCUCUAGACAAACUUGUGUCUCCUCCACCUGAAUCUCUCAGUGCAAUCUCUCUGGACACGGACAACAAGCCCUCAGGGGUGGUGGACUGGUUUGUGUCCGGACUGGGUCUGAAGAUGCCUCAGCUCGUUCUUCCACCUAAAGAUGAAGCAGAGGCUUCAGCUGAAGUCCUGAAAAAAGCUUCAUCUAAGCUCGACCCUGACAUGGUCUUAGAGGAUCUGGAGUCAGACAACGAGGUCCAGCAGAAACACGAGGACCGAACCAAAGCUGCAUCCCUGAGUCCAUCCAUAAAACCGCCACAGCGUGAAGAGGCGCCGCCGACGCAGCCGAACCCCCAGAAGUCUGAAGCUUCAUCGGACGGCGCGCAGAAAGGCUCCCAGGAGGACGCGGAGACCCAGACGGGCCGCUGGACGCCGUUCAUCGAGAGCAUCAAGAAGGAGGCUGAGGACGUUGCCCUGGCAACCAUGGAGGAGCGUUUGCUGCAGGAGCGGAUAGAGAUGGCCCGUCUGGCGGAGGAGGUGGCGCGGCAGACGGCUGAGAUGGCCGUCAGGCAGAUGGCCAGCGAGGGAACCUCCAUCAAACUCUCACUGGAGAGUCAAGAACUCCUGGAGGAGCCGGAGGCCGAGUAAGUCAUAGUGGAGAGGUCUGGAACUGAGUCUGUGUGAAGAGGAGUGAAGCUGAAAGUUCUCUGUGGACAGGUUACCAGAGGAGGAGGUGCAGGAGCAGGAGGAGCAGGAGGAGGUCACGGGGUGAGAAUGCAAACAACAAUUUGGGUUACUAACUUAACAAAAAGCUCAAAUACAAUGAAAAACUAAUGAUUGAUAGAAAAUCAUAAAACUUUUACUGUAAUUAUGUAGACAACAAAAA
rnacentral:lncRNA from 1 species